UACGGAGGGGGCUAGCGUUGUUCGGAAUUACUGGGCGUAAAGCGCACGUAGGCGGCUUUGCAAGUUAGAGGUGAAAGCCCGGGGCUCAACCCCGGAAUUGCCUUUAAAACUGCAUCGCUAGAAUUGUGGAGAGGUAAGUGGAAUUCCUGGUGUAGCGGUGAAAUGCGCAGAUAUCAGGAAGAACACCUAUGGCGAAGGCAGCUCUCUGGGACGGUACUGACGCUGAGACGCGAAAGCGUGGGGAGCGAACAGG
rnacentral:rRNA from 1 species